GACGAACCGUCCAAACGUUAUUCGGUAUCACUGGGCUUAAAGCGUGCGUAGGCGGCCUGGUAGGUGAGGUGUGAAAGCCCACGGCUCAACCGUGGAACAGCGCUUCAAACCACCAGGCUUGAGGAUGGCAGGGGUGAUGGGAACUGAUGGUGGAGCGGUGAAAUGCGUUGAUAUCAUCAGGAACACCGGUGGCGAAAGCGCAUCACUGGGCCAUUUCUGACGCUGAGGCACGAAAGCUAGGGUAGCGAAC
rnacentral:rRNA from 1 species